CAGUCGCCGCAGUAAUACGGAGGGUGCAAGCGUUAAUCGGAAUUACUGGGCGUAAAGCGCACGCAGGCGGUCUGUCAAGUCAGAUGUGAAAUCCCCGGGCUUAACCUGGGAACUGCAUUUGAAACUGGCAGGCUAGAGUCUUGUAGAGGGGGGUAGAAUUCCAGGUGUAGCGGUGAAAUGCGUAGAGAUCUGGAGGAAUACCGGUGGCGAAGGCGGCCCCCUGGACAAAGACUGACGCUCAGGUGCGAAAGCGUGGGGAGCAAACAGGAUUAGAUACCCGGGUAGUCCCUGUCUCUUAUAC
rnacentral:rRNA from 1 species